AGUAAAGUCAGCUAAUUAAGCUUUUGGGCCCAUACACGUCGUGAGUUGGUAUCCUAAUCCUUCCUAUACUA
rnacentral:tRNA from 1 species